GAUUAUGGCUCAGAACGAACGCUGGUGGCGUGUCUUAUACAUGCAAGUCGAGCGGUGCAGCAAUGCAUAGCGGCGAACGGGUGAGUAACGCGUAAGCAAUCUGCCCCCUGUUCGGGAAUAGCCGUGCCAACGCGCGGGUAAUACCGGAUAUAGUGGCCCUGGACAUCCGGGGUUGACAAAAGAUUUAUCGACAGGGGAUGAGCUUGCGUCCGAUUAGCUAGUUGGCGGGGCAACGGCCCACCAAGGCGACGAUCGGUAGCCGGCCUGAGAGGGUGAUCGGCCACAUUGGGACUGAGAUACGGCCCAGACUCCUACGGGAGGCAGCAGUAGGGAAUAUUGCACAAUGGGGGAAACCCUGAUGCAGCAACGCCACGUGUGGGAAGAAGCAUUUCGGUGUGUAAACCACUGUCGUGAGGGAAUAAGGCUGAGUUUCGGCUCAGUUGAAUGUACCUCGAGAGGAAGCACCGGCAAACUUCGUGCCAGCCGCGGC
rnacentral:rRNA from 1 species